rnacentral:ncRNA from 2 species
UUGAAUUCUCAGGGCGGGGUGAAAUUCCCCACCGGCGGUUAUUUUGAUGAAAUCAAAUAAGCCCGCGAGCGCCUGCGGUUAACGCAGGGUCAGCAGAUCUGGUGAAAUUCCAGAGCCGACGGUUAAAGUCCGGAUGGGAGAGAAUAAAA